rnacentral:lncRNA from 10 species
UCUUAGCCCUUCUGUUAAUGUAAAGGAAAUGAUGUAAGUUUCCUUCUCUUAGUGAUUCCAGGUUCCAGUGGCAUCAUCUCUCACACAACUGUUGCACCUGGAAGUUCUGUUAUAGGCACUACUGGUGUGGCCUUGAGCACGGCUGUUGCACCUGGAAGUUCCAGUACAGAAGCCACAACUUCCACAGGAGUCCAUAGAACCACUGUAGUGGGAUGGAAGACAGGUGAGAAUUAAUGGUGUGUAUUUGUGCAUGCAUGUAUGACUUUUGAGUGAUAAUAAAUUACAAUUAUACUUUGCUUCUUAAUAGGAUAGUUUUUCAAGGAGGAGCUUUUGAGGAACUCUCAUCUAAGAUCAGCGUUUUGUUACUUAAUUUUGAAUUAACUUGGGCAAAUUUCCUUCCAUUUCCAGGGCCAAGCCUCACAUAUAUAAGUCUCUGCAAAUGAGAGUGAAAGUGAUAAUUGUAUGAAAAGUUUUCUUUUUCCAUUUUAGUUAUCUCCAUUUUAGGUAUAUCAGAAAAAUGAAUUACUGGCUCAGAGGAUUCUAUUUCAG